AGUGAACGCUGGCGGUAGGCCUAACACAUGCAAGUCGAACGGCAGCACAGUAAGAGCUUGCUCUUACGGGUGGCGAGUGGCGGACGGGUGAGGAAUACAUCGGAAUCUACUUUUUCGUGGGGGAUAACGUAGGGAAACUUACGCUAAUACCGCAUACGACCUACGGGUGAAAGCAGGGGAUCUUCAGACCUUGCGCGAUUGAAUGAGCCGAUGUCGGAUUAGCUAGUUGGCGGGGUAAAGGCCCACCAAGGCGACGAUCCGUAGCUGGUCUGAGAGGAUGAUCAGCCACACUGGAACUGAGACACGGUCCAGGCUCCUACGGGAGGCAGCAGUGGGGAAUAUUGGACAAUGGGCGCAAGCCUGAUCCAGCCAUACCGCGUGGGUGAAGAAGGCCUUCGGGUUGUAAAGCCCUUUUGUUGGGAAAGAAAAGCAGCAGGUUAAUACCCCGCUGUUCUGACGGUACCCAAAGAAUAAGCACCGGCUAACUUCGUG
rnacentral:rRNA from 1 species